CCUGGUCAGGCAUGGGGCCCAGGUCCCCAUAGAAGAGCCGGCAGCCCUGGGGGUUGCUCACCGUCAUGGUUUGCCCAUACUCCUUCCCACGAUACUGAAACUUGAUGUCCAAGUCAGUCACUACAAGGUGGCCUCGAACAUGAAGAAACAGCAGUAGUUUCAAAUAAGAAGCCAGAACACUGGAAAUAGGCUACAGCUUUUCAAGGAACAAAACAGAAUGAGUGAGCCAAGAGUCCGGGGAAGAGCCAACGUUUCCAACUCUUUUAACUGGUUUGCUUGUCUUAAUCUUUUUUUUUUUUUAAUGUUGGUUUGUUUUGUUUGAGAUAGGCUCUCCGUGGACCAGGCCAACUUCAAGUUUGUAGUGAUCGCCUGUCCUUACCACCAGAUACAUUGGUUAUCACACUCACCUCAGAUAAAUGUCCAAUUUAAAAUUUCACUGAGAGAGCACCAUGUACUAAUACUGUCUAGAUUAGAAAAUCUCUACAAAAGGUGUCCUUUUUUUUCUUUUUAGAUAAUUGUUAUGUGUGUGGGCAUGAUUCCAGGUGGCCAAAGAGGCAGGGGACAGCAAAUGCUCUGGACCCAGGUGAUUGUGAGCCACCCAAAAUAGAUUCUGCCAAUCUCUCAAGCCCCCAUGAAAGUUUCCUUUAUCCACCAUUUGUUUUCAAGGGCACCUCAGGCACUCACCUUCAACCCCAGCACAGGGAAGCAGAGGCAGGUGGAUUGCUGAGUUCCACACCAGCCUGAUCUACAUGGCAAGUUUAGGCCAGGCAGGGAGCUAUACAGUACCCUGACUCAAAAAACAAAACAAAACAAAACAAAACAAAACCAACAAGAAGAAGGGCUGUGAGCGAACACGGGUCAUGCCCUGAUUCUAGGUGAAGCACUAGAACCAGCGACGCCCAAGCCCUAAGGCAGCAUCAUGGUUGACCGAAUUCUCUAGGUGGCAAAUGUCACCUCAUCAGACCCACAGCAUGCAGACAGUGUGAGGUGUGCUGGUGGCCAGUCAUUCUACUAGCAUCUCCAUGGGCCGAUGCGGAAAGAAUGCUUCAGGAGGGCAACCCAGAGCACAGUGGGAAUCCUCAGGUGAGUAUCUACAGUCAGACACAGGCCCUGAUGCCACACAGCAGGCCCCAACCUCUCCACCUCCUCUUUCCUGGAGAGCCGAUUCAAAAGUCCAUACAAGAGGGUGUUGCUACAAAGGCACCAUGAGGCUGCUAGACAGGACUCUGGAAGACCUACUUUUCCCUUUUUCUUUUUAUGUCAUAUUUUUUAAUUGGCCUAAGCCUGGAGAGACUCUUCUCUAACACGCUGGGUUUUCUCACUCCUUCUGUGAAGUCCCUAACACUCCACCAUGUGGCUGAACACCACGUUUGCCAUUGCCAAAUAUACUAGCUCAACUCAAACAUGGCUUUCUCUCUUCCUCUUCUCCAUCUUCUUCCUCCUGGCAGUUGUCAAGAUUUAGAGCUUGCCUGUCCAGGGAGUUUUCUUUUAAACACUAAUAAUAUUGUCCAAGCACCUUCAAAUGAUAAAAGAUUUUUUUUCCCCAGAGCUGAGGACCAAACCAAGGGCCUUGCGCUUGCUAGGCAAGCGCUCUCUACUACUGAGCUAAAUCCCCAACCCAGCAGGGUCAAGUACCAUCAACUAGAAUCAAGUUUUCCAUGGCGCAGCUUCAGUGGAGUGAAUUCUGAUAAGGACAUAACUCAGAAUUCAUACCAGGAAAACUACAGUUCAUAAACAGGAUAUAUCAGUUCUUGGGAAGUAAAUUCCCAAACCUGAUCAUUCACCAAGAAUGAAUCAUGCUCCUUCUAGUCCUUUGAAUUGGAUGCUCUCUAGAACCUCAGAGCACACCCUCUUGCUUCGGAUUAACUGAGGCAUCAGGUCUUCUGCCUCUGACUCCGGCUUACUAACGCACCAUCAGUCUGGCUGGGGAGCCUGCCACCUCCCUACGCCCUCAGAGCAAUGGUGGAUGAUGGGUCAGUAGUUCCAAAGCCAAAGCCAGUUACAUCCUCCUCAUCCCAUGGGCCACUAGCCACCCCACUCACCAUUGAUGUUCAGGAAGGGGAAGGUGUCCUGGAUCGGGACGUGGUGCUGUGACUGUUCAAGUUCAUCUUCCUCGUCAUCUUCAUCCACAUCAUUAUCUUUCUCAUCCCAAGGAGCAGACCCUGUGGAUCCUAUCCAGGACACAUGAAGAGCAGUUCAUUUCAGUAACAUCUCAACAACUGACCAACCACCCAGGCUAGAGACACCUCAGUACACACCCACCAGCUUUGGCUAGUUCUAAAUCCUUCUACAGAGUCUGAACACAAGGUCUCUUAUCUCACCUUAGAAAUCCCUUCCAGUUACUAUAACUAUACAGUAGCUUUCUACACAGGAGCAUCCCUUUUAAGAGUUCCAGAAUACUCACUUGUCACUUUCGAGAGCCGCAUAUGAGGGAGGCACAAACCCUCCAUUAUGGCGGGGUCUGACUGAAUGGUAAGGCUAAAUGUCUGGCCCUUCGUAUUCAUUACUCGUUGAGGAUUGGGUGGUGUGUUCUCAGCAGAAACACUCUACAAACUAAACUAUCUUGACCCAACACUUAUAGAGAACAAAAGCUCACACAGGUCAUGUAUCCACUGGUUCUACUAGUAACCUUUGAAAAGGCAGAAUGAUGAGAGUUCACAUCUUGAAACUGAAGAAAUUGUUAUUGGGCUCGAUGUGCCCAAUAACAAUUCAAGUCCAACAGUAGUAGAGUGAUAAAAACCAGGUUUGGAAUGCAAGUCCUCUAGUUGUUACUCCUCCAUCCAGACAGAAGGUGUCCUGCCUGAAAAACUGUACCCUCAUCUACCUUCUGCUUGAAGCACUCCUUUUGUACCCCCUUAUACCAUCUGCUCUCUGAGCUCUUCCUAGGCAAUGGCCUGUUUUCAACCUGUCUCCUUAAGAGACCAACCCUGGGUCUACCCAAGCCUCAGGCCUCACCUGGGUUAAUGACAGAGCCCUGGGGCUGGGGGAUGUCACACACUUGAUAGAUCUUCACAGGAUUCAUGGGCACUUCCUUGGUGCCGUCAUACAUCAAGUUGAAUUCCCGGCUUUUGUUGAGAGCACAUCGGAGCUGAGCCUUCCAUUUAGCUGGGUCAGGAUCGUCCACCCCUUCCUGGUACUUUCCAGUCUCCACAGCCCAAGCCUGAGGAAUGAGACAGUGUGAGUGCUGACCACUGUGGGGAACUACCACCAAGCAUGCACACGCCCCUCUCACAUGUGCACACAUGCACAUACAUGCACACACACUUGCACACACACCUCUGAGUGUUUACUAUCUCAAUGCCAAUUUAAAGAUUAGGGUGGGUAAUAUUGACCUUAGGGCCAACAAAGGCAGGUCAAAGAGAAAUCAAGCUGUAUGCAAACAAAAGUUUGAAAGGAGCCUUAGUCCAGGCUUUAGCAGCAGCACCUGUCCAGACAAUGGCAAAGCUGAAGUCUGGGGCGACACUGUACACAGCAGGCUUUAGGCAACUGUUUUCUCCUCUUCUCCAGUCUUUUCCACCCUUGUUCUUACUCCUUUUUUGUCAUCUUCUGUCCUACAUGUUUUUUUUUGAGGUUUUAGGAUUUGAUUUUUAAUUAUGUCCAGUCCAUCUUGGGUGUUAGGUAUGUUAAUGCGCAUACAUGUGCCCUCUGAUGCCAGAACAGAUCACUGGAUCCCCCAGAUUUGGAGUUACAGGAGGUUGUGAGCUGUGUAUCAUUAAGCGCUAGGAACUGAACUCCGGUAUGCUGCAGAGCAGUAUGGUCUCCUAACCACUGAGCCAUCUCUCCUGCUCCUGUCUCAUUGUGUACCACCCACCCACCCACACACACACAUACACACACUGGAAUCAACUCCAAAUCCUCCUCCUUUAGCUUACCCAGCAAUGAAAAUGAAGUGUGUUACACCUUGCCAGAUUUUCUUUUAAAACAAGAAUAGCUUACAUAACAAUAAGGACAGCAAAAGGAAGUGAGACAACAUAAAGACUCUCAGGGGCCAGAUGUGGUACUGUCUACCUGUAGUUCCAGCACCGAGGAGGCUGAAACAGGAGGACAGUGAGUUUGAAAUUAACCUGGGCUACAUAGAAAGAGAGUCCAGGGCCAACCUGGACUACUACGUCAUGAGGGCUCAGUUCAAUAAAAGACAAGACAAAAAUUCUCCAGGAAGCAUGCUCCGAUGUUCAGUUUGUCCCAACCCCUUCCCCAGGGCGGCAACUUUUAACAAAUUCUCACACAUCUCUCCCCAGUUCUUCAAACUCCCCUAUCGUGGAAACCUCCAGCAGCAGCCUGGGGGCAUGGCCUAAAAACCCAGGUGAAGCCUCCUCUGUUUUCCUAAGUAGGAAGUCAAAGUGCCACUGUAGAUAAGAGGAUCAUCUGCCCAGUGAGAAGAGGAGAACCAAUGUGAGGAACAGACCCAGCCCCUCAGGAGCGUCCAUGGGGGAGGAGCAGACCAAGCACUGCUUCCAGGUUCCCCUCACCGGUUACCAACUCUCCCCGCUGGCCACAUGCCCUCUUCAUGUUCUCUGAUGCAGGUUGAGGAGACCUCAUUAGAGGUCUGUUCCUCAAACAAGAACACGCCGACCCGUUUACAUGUUUAACUUCACCACAUUUUAUUUAGUUAGUAUGUAAGUGGGAAUUCGUUCUCUCCUUUUGGGCCACGUGGAUCCUGGGGAUUGAACUCAGGUGGUGAGGUGCAGUGACACCUGCUGAGCCAUCUCACCAGCCCCACUGGAACCUUCUCGAGCUGUCAGGGCAGAUCACUCAUCUAAACUUUUGCCACAUAGAACCUUUUUCUCUUCUUGAUUUUUCUGAGACAGGCUCUUAAUACAUACCUCAGGCUGGCCUUGAAAAUUCACUGCAAUCCUCCUGCCUUAGCUUUCAGAGUACUAAAACUUUACGCACACACCUCCAUGCCAGGCGCAGGCUUUUCCCUUAAGCCAAAAUUGAACUUUUGUACCCUCUAUUGAGAUCUCUGGUCCCCGCUCAAUCCCACCCUGCAGAGUGGCAGAGUCCAGUGUUAACUAAGUCUUCCAGGCCACAUUCACUUCCUCCAGCCACAUUCUCUGUUUUGGUUUCCUCUGUGUUUUGCAGUGUAGAAUAAAGAAUACCAACCAAGCUGAGCUGCCCAGUGUGGCUUAGCAGGCACCAGGGUGGCUAAGGCUGACUCCAUUCAUAGGGAGGCUCAACUUCACUGCUCCUAAUACCUGAGAUACAAACCCGCUAUUACCUGGUGGACCUGCCUGCUGCCUCCCCUAGCUCCUUGUGUUUUGUCCAAACUUCUGUAUUCACACUGGCUCUGACUCUAUCCAGCUGAGUCCAGCCAGAGGCAGAUUCUGGAAGCACUCUAUACAUUUCUGUGAUUCCCUUAAAUCCUGCUCCUCCAACAGCACAGCUGGACUAACUAAGCCUCACGCUAACACCAGCUUCCUGCUCACACCCAGCCAUCUCCUCAGUCAGUUGAGGUGAUACAAAGAAGGCUAUACUCCUUACAAGCACAGCUUCAGCAUCAGGAAGGGAGGGCCAUGAGGCACCAUAUGGGCCGAUGCUGUGACGUAUAAACUGUACUUGUUCAAACCCCUCUCUGAGCCUGGUCACCAUGAAGGCCCUAUUUCUCUUUCUAAAAUAGCUAUUUCGACAUUUUUAUCGUAUUUUACAUGUAUCUCCCCACACUUCUAUUUCCAUGACAAUUCUAAGAAGCAGACGGGCUGACUUCAUCUCAACUUUACCAAAGGAAAAACUGAAGCCCUAAGAGGUCGCAUGCUUUACUCAAGAUCAACCACCCCACAGGGUUGGUGGGUAUAGAAGUUGAGGUUGAACAGUUAAGGCUCCCACUCAGAAUCAUAAGGGGGCAAACGGAACAGGAUCAGAGACCCAGGUUCAAAUCCUGGAGCUACCAUUGAUUGACAGAGGAAGUUACUCAGCUUCACUGAUGGCUUCUAAAUGUACAAUACAGGGUGGGAGGAAGACUCCCCCUGCAUGAUCAUCAUGAGAUUCAAGUGACACUGGGAACCCAGGAGCCCAUGCUGGUGCCUCCCUCACCUCUGUACCUCACCAAGAGUUCACCAGAGCAUAGGACCUGCCUGCAACAGCAUCCUGUCUUCUACCACUCAAAUGCUCUUCAGGAAACUACAAACAGACAUACCCAUGCGAAACUUUCCUCACACCCUCAUGAGAGGGGCCUACCAUUCCAGCCUCUUCCCGUGACCAAUCAGAGACUUCAAGAGCAAACUCAGACCCAGAGCAAGGAUGUAAGAGAUAGGACCAGGCCUAAGCAGGCUUGUCCAUUGUCAGCUCCACCAGUGAUAAGGCACCCUGGUCUGCAGAUAUUUCUCUUGACACUUUCAUAACAUCCACACAUAAUAUUAAUACAUUAUAAUAUUCAUAAAUUUAGUGCUUCAUUUACAUACUUUAAAAGUCCUCUCGGGCCAGUUUUCUCUCUGCCUCUCUCCUCUACACCAGAAAUAGGUGGGUAAUAGCCUGGCGGGAAAUGGCUUUCCUCAGAGCCCUGGACUUGACUUCCCUGCCUCUUCCUGAUCCUACAGUCAGUCAGGACCAGAUUGCAGCUUGGCCUUCCAGCUUAUAGACAAAGUAAGAAAUGACCAGCAUCUUGGGCUGUAGGAACUAACUACUCCUGAAAUGGAAGGAAGACGUUGGUCUUCAGUGGAGAGGCAGCUCCUGGCAAACUGUAAUCACAAUGAAGUCCUUCUGUAACAACUACCUGCUCACUUCUGUCUGAAGUCAAGCUUUGGUUCCACUUAGAUUCAGUAAAGCGAGAUGUGACUAAAUCUUGUCUUCAGCAGACCACAAUGGGGAUGGGAGAAGAAUUACUUGCUAUUUGUGAAAACGUAAUUAGGGCUUGGGGUGUAGCUUGGUGGUGAUGUGUAUGCUUUGCCUGCACAAAGCCUUGGGCUUGAUUGAUCCUUAGGGGUGAGAAAGAAAAGUUGGGAAAAAGUCAGAAGAAGAGCGGGGACAAGAAAGGGGAGAGGAGAAGGAAGGGGAAAGGCAGAAGAAAGACAUCUAAAGAAUAUAAAACUGUGAGGUGUCUGGAGAGAUGGUUCAGUAGUAAAAACUGUGCACUGCCCUUGAAGGAAAGCUGAGUAACCUGGUUCCCAGCAUGCACAUGUACACACACACACACACACACACACACACACACACACACACACACACACACUCAUCCCAGGUCCACCAGGAUAUAAACUGAGAAUCUUCCUGCAACCAGUGGUAUUGUAAAGACCUCAGCCUCAUAGACACAGCUAGAGAAGAGGAGUCACAAUUCGGGUAUCCCAUUCUGGUAUCCCAAUUCGGGUACACCAGAACACCAGAAUAAAGAAAGCAAACAAAACCAGAAUGGCCUCGGAGAACUGGAACUAAACAAUUCAACUCGGAUGGCAGAAGGAAGUGCUUUACCUUAAAAAUGGUGUUUUCUUCCUCUUGUUGGGGGCUGUGCCGCGUGGCAUGUUUCCAGGGGAUCUGGAAGCGUUUGGAAUCUCUAUGUAGCCAGAUGAGACCAGGGUAGAGGCCACUGUCCACCUGGGCCACCAGCCAGGGCUUCAGCCGGACUCUUCGAGGGUGGAGGGCCAUGCUCUAGAAGUAGGGAGAGCAGAAGAGUGGAGCUAGCCACUGGGAACUUUCCCAGCCACUGUUUCCAAGUGCUGCGGCUACAGUUUCACUAGAUUACAGCAAAGAAAUUAAAUAUGGCAGUAAACUGUGCCAGAGAGAGGAGAAGGAAAGAGGUAAAAGGGUUCUUUUGAUUCUUAUUGAGAAGCCAUUUAUACUUCAUGCUCUGGCCAAAUCAGACUUAUCAUGCAAGCAGAUCACAUUUCUCCUAUUUAAAUCCUUAAGCUGAGGAAGGUGAUGUCAUCCUCGCCUGAACGGAGCCCUCGCCUGAACAUAGCUUCUUCGGGGGGCUCUGCAAGGGAAGGGUGAUUGCUCUUUUCAAUCUUGCCUCAGGAGAGGGAAGGAAAGUUUUGGAAACUUCGGCCCAGAAGCUAAACAAACUAUCUUUCUCAGAAGACAAUGGAGAAAGGGUUACUUGAAAGAAGCAUGUGCGGGGCGGGCCCUAGUUCCAAAGUCCUCACUUGGGUGAGCAGGCAGUCUUUCCACCAGCCCAGACAGCCUUCCCUCUUUUGGCUUCUAGCAAAACGAGUCACUGCUGAUCUCCAGUGCCUGAGGUACAGUUUGAGAAUACUUCCCCAUUGUGAGCCUAGGAAAGCCCUAAGAAGCCCUACAAUAACCAAAUUCUGUUGUCACAGCUAAGCCCCGCACAGCUAAGCUGGCCUCUUCACCUGGGUCUGUUUAUCUCCCCACAGAGGCUGGAGAAAACCAACUGGUUCCAGGCGCCAGGCUGGGUAAAGUCUGCGAUUGAUUCUCCUCGAAACAUGGACGCUGCAGAUAACAUUCUACAGCAGCCAGCACUCACAGCCCAAAACAAAGGCCUGUGGAUCCUAUGCCAGAGGCAAAGUCCCUCGUUAGAACACUGUCUGCCUGGGGUUCCACCCAAAUACAGGGAACUCAACCCAACUCAAUUUCUGGCACUUUAAGAGCAAGGGCAUCAUAUGGAGCCAUUAAACCCAGGGAGUACGUGGACACCCAAUGAGAAGGGACUACAAGCAGGAGAAUGGAGAUCAAGGUCAGACUGGGUUACAUAAGACCCUACCUCGAAAAGAAAUAUCAAAAAGGAAUCUAUACCCCAAUGGUAAGUGCUGCCUUCUCGUUCAGCCCUGUUCUUGCUAGAAGAGGAUAGGGCAAGAACUAGGGAGAGCACUGCAAACCUAUUAGCCUAUCGCUGGACACCUAUUAGCCUAGCGCUGGACACCUAUUAGCUUAGCCCUGGGCACCUAUUAGCCUAGCACUGGGCUAUGAACAGCCCCACUGCAGUCCUGAGAAGUCCUGACUCUGAGUUUGUCAUGCAUGAGAAAUCUACGUCUCAUCAGACAAUGCACCUGAGGGCUUAUUACAGUUGAUUCACAGCCAUCAAGAACAAAAUGAAAGCAGACAUGACAGUGAUCUGCACUAGCAGGGCAGGAGGAAGAGCCACCCCUGGUCACUGGUGACUAAGAUCCUCACUCUGGAUUCUCUAUGUUCUCCCAAGAUGGGGCCACACAUGUGUGGCUCCCCAGCCUGCCUUCUUCUACUUUACUUCCUUCUCUGCAACCCUUUCCGCCUUCUAAAAGUCAGCCAGGAGUUCCCCAAUCUGCCAUCUGAGAUUCUUAAAACAGGGAUGGGCGGGGGAGGGGGGAGGUAAAAACAGCCAAGAUGUCAGAGAGGGAAAAUGGUUUGUUAAACCAAAUCCACAGGCUGCAAACCCCGCAGCUAUGGCUGUACAGCAGUAUCUCCACUCCAUAGCACACAGAGACACGAACCGGGGAAGAUAUCGCAAGACACCGUGACAUACGUAGUGCUUGCCCAGAACUUUGUAGGCCUCUCUAUAUGCUUAAAUAUAGGAACCACAUUUCAUUUCAUUUCAUUUAAUACUGCACCAGCAUUUUCCUAUACCACAGGACGGUGACACUUCUCAGGAUGGAUAGCAGCGCCAUCCUCCACAUCGACACAGGCUCUAGAGUGUCACUUGUGUCAUCCCGCACUCAGGAUCCAAGACACGGUGUCAACCCCAUGUGACAGCUGAGUUGACUGAGGCACAGGGAUAAGGUUAAGGGGCCUCUACCUUACCUCUGGGUUGCAGCAAACCCUGCCUUUGUGCCCUGCACUCUAAGCCUUCCCCAUUCUACACACAAGAUAUCAAGCCUGAACCAACAAGGACCCUGAGAAGGAGCCUCCACAAAGAGAAGGAAGAGCUUAAAGACACCUACUCCUCUCUAAACUUUCAGGCCGCUGAAGCUGUGCCCUGCCAUCUCCAGAUGCCACCACAUGAAAAUGAAAGGAGCGGAUCCUUUCUUGUAAAUACCCUACUACUUCUGCAGUCCUCGUUGGGCUUCUCGGGACCACAGACCUCAAGCUAGUAGGCUGUCUCGGUUUGGGCCAGAUCUCAAAGGCAGCUGUUGGGACUGCCCUAGUUUCCCAUUCUUCCUGAAGGGAACUGAAAUGCCAGCUCUGUGAAUUUUUUUCACCAUGCCUGAGUAAAUGCUGGGCUCCUGGUUUUCUCCUCAAACACGUCCUCCCUGUGGGUUUGGAGUUGGUGGAUGACAAGGCCAAGGUGUAGGCCACUGUGCUGUCAUGUGUGGCACACAGAUCUAACUAGCAAUUUCACCAAUCUCUGUCCAAGCACCCUUGCCCCCCCCUUCCCUAGCUUCCCUCUCGAUACCCACAAGAAAACAGGGAAGGCUGGUGACCACUUUAUCACCGAGGGAAGCACAGCAGCAGCGGCAGCCCAGGUCUCCCUUCCAGGCAGGUAUGGGAGACUUUCUGCUCUCUGCACCGCCUCCAGCCCCUUCAGGCCAGGAGGGCCUCACCCGCAAAGGUGCCACGCCUGGCGCCACCCUCCCCAGCACCUAGCUUGGCUACCUGGAACUCGUCUCCCAGGCCCAGUGUGAGCGGCCUUAACUGUGCUAGGACACUUGGAAAAAGGAAAACAAAUCCGCCCAAACACCAGGUCACCCUUAUCCCCGCUUCCCCUAAACAGCCACUAGGGCCCGGGGCCUCGGGGUCUGGGAAGUCCCCGCUGGGACACAAGAGCCAGCCUCUGAGUAAGCUAGUAAAAACCGGAGGGGCUAGGGAGGAGAGGAUGCCUGCACUCUAUCUGACGGUGGAGCAGGCGGAGCAGAAAACGAGCUCUUUCUGCGGGAGGGGAUCGAAGGGGGUCCGGUGCUGUCCCAAAGCUACUUGGAGAAGGGUGCCCAGCACCCAGCCUAGUGCGGGACACGGAACCCAAGUCAGCUCCCCCGCCCACACAAACUCCAGUGGGUCCGGCCCCACCCGUCAGGUGUCUGUCCUCCCUUAGGUGGCUUGCUGACGCCCGCGUCCCCACCUGGCCUCAGUCGGUGCUCAGGAACAGGUGCACAGGAGUUCUCGCCACCGCAGCACAGGAGCUCUCCCGACGGCUAGGCACGGCUGGGAACCGCGGGCUCCUCUGCGGCCCGCACAGGCCCGCACCUGCCCACCUCGGUGCCCGGUGCUCUGAGCCUAGCCUGGGCUGCCACUGCCCCUGUACCGUGUGGCCACGCCCUCCAGGUGUGGCCACAUCCCCCGGAGUUCAGGAUUGGUGCAUUGCGAGAAAUCUGAUACUCUGCGUUCCUGGGCCGAGGGCCCCGCCCUGCCUGUUCGUCACCCUACGCCCCUGCCACCAAGUGAGGGAGCGGUCCCCGUGUGGGCCUCACCCUGCGGGUGUUCGAUGAUCCUGAGGACUUGCAAGGAGGGUCGGGGGGGGGGGGCAUUAGGAGGUCACCUCGAAAUAGGAGGGCGUCGUCCCUCCCGUAGUGACCCUGCACAGGUGAGGGGUUUUGAGACUGGGACACACAGCUAGAGCCAGGACCUGCGUAGGUGGACUUGGCUUUGAGAAACUACUCCAGGACGUGUCAGUGCACUUUCCAGGACUGCCUGUGGACCCGGGUUCUAUCUUACUUUCUCAUGUAUUCAAAGACGACCGCAAUUUCCGCUUUUCCCUUUCUUACGAAGUGCUACCUGAAAGCACAGACCCUGGAGCCAGUUGUGGAGUUCAAACGACCGAUUUUAUCAAGCACUAGAGACUGGGGAAAGUUUUCUCAGCUCUCUGGGCUUCCGUUUCUUUUCUGUAGAGUGGGAUUUCUACAGCUGCCUGCCUGGUAGAUUAUGUGGUCACUCAAUGUGUGUCUAGAGUACAUAGCACUUUCGGUUAUUAUCGAAGAAUAACCCACAAUGCCUUGCUGAGUAAGAGCAUCUUUCCUGUCACCUGGUCUUUAUGUCCUGUGGACCUUUCAGCUUCCCAAUCCAUAGAUCAACUAUGAGAGCAGUGUCCAGCCAGUGAGGCAAACCCCUCACCGCCAAACGCCGCUGUUACACGGAGAUGGAGCAUGGGUGAGGCACUUAAGAAGACUGGGGAUCUAGCUUCUUUAUAGAGUGUAUCAAGGCCCUGGGUGAGAACCUCCCCAGUGCUGUAAGAAUAACAGUAAUGAAGGCAUCCACCACUCAGGAGACUACGGUGAGAAGACCAAGCCUUCGUAGCCUAACACUGUACAGUGUGAAAUUAGUAUUAGCUGUCAUCCUGACUGGACACGCCUGUGAGGGAUUGUAUCGAUUAAGGUUGGCCUCUGAGAAUGUCUGUGAGGGAUUGUCUUGAUUAAACUUCCCACUGCUGCGGGAAGACCCAUCUUAAUUGUAAGCAGGAUCAUUCACAGAGCAGGGGCUCCUGGACUGUACAAAAUGGAGACGCUAAGCCAAGCUUAGCGUGCAUGCAUCUCUGUUCCCAACUAAGGAAGCUUGAAGCUCCUGGAUCUUGAAAUCCCAGGAGUGGCAGGCCAUAACCACUCCUGAAGUGAACCAGGAAAAUCCUUUCUCCCUUAAGUUUCUUUUUCUCAUUAUUUUAUCACAAUGGGAGGGAAAAACAAGACAGUGAAUUUGAGGCCAGCCUGGGAUCCAGAGUGAGAAUGGGUCUCAAAACAGUGAAGUAAGGAGAUAAGGGAGAAACUGUGGAGUGGGAUGUGAGGGGCUGAGGGUGGGGCCCCAGCUGCAGAGUGCAGCUUUAUUUGGAUGCUUCAGGAUGUGAUGGAGUUAAGAUGAGGUCAUUGUGUUGGCUCUAAUCCAGCAUGACUGCUCUCCUUAUAAACGAAGGAGAGCUGAACACAGGCAGCAUGCACAGAAUGAAUAUGAUUCAGAGAUAAGGGAGAAGACGUCAUUGAAAUUCAAAGGCAGAGACCCGGAAUAGCUUCCUUUCUACAGUCCUCAGCUGAGUGGCACCACGGCACUGCCUUUCUAAAUGCCUGACUGACAGGACAAGAACCAAUCUGCCUAUGGUAUCUAUUCUGGUGAGCGUAGUAAAUUAAUAUAAGCUGGCUGGAGAGCCCCUGGUUGAUGAUAAAUGUAGGUUUGCUCCUAGUCCCAGAUCAGCUUGGGGUGUCACCAGGCAAAGGCUUGGGACGGCAGGGAGGCCCUGACACCUGACUCAGCCAGCCUCUGCUUUAACCACUGCCUGUGGCCACUCUUCCCUCUGCUUAGGGGAGGGGCUGCUUGCUCUCUAGGACUGAUGCUCAGGAAAGCUCAGGUCUUCCCUGAGUAGGAAUGGCCUUUGAAACCAAGCAAAUGCUCUUUCAAGUGUAUGUGCAGGGGAAGACUACCCAAGGCCUGUCACCUGAGAGAAGCCAGGAGCUUAGACAUGACACUCACUCUUGCCCGGGCUGAAACAGGGACUAAGGUGAUGUCUCAGGGCUCUCCUUUAGAAGUGUUAGGGGUUGAGUGUGGCAUUUGCUGGUAAUCCUAGCAUUGUUGAAGUAGGGGUUGGAGAGAGGUGGCUCAGCAGCUAAGGGCACUGACUGCUCUUCCAAAGUUCCCGAGUUCAAUUCCCAGCAACCACAUGGUGGCUCACAACCAUCUGUAGCUCACAACCAUCUGUAAUGGGAUUUGAUGAUCUCUUCUGGUGUGUCUGAAUACAGCUACAGUGUACUCAUAUAAAUAAAAUAAAUAAAUCUAAGGGGAAAAAAAGAAAGAAAGAAAAGUUGAAGGAUUGUGAAUUCAAGGCCAGCCUUGGCUACAUAGUAAGGUUGAGUCCAGCCUGAAAAUCAAGACACAUAUUUUAGAGUGAGGGAGAUUUAAGCUGGAAGAGUAAAUUCUCUAGUCCAGAGGUUGGGGACAUAGCACAAUAGUAAAGUGCUUGUCUAGCAUAUGCAAAACCCUGCGUUCAACCCCCCAACACCACAAAAGUAAAUUCUCUAGUUCAGGGCUAAGACCGGCUUAGAAAUGUUUGUUUGGUCCACACUAUGUCCUAAAGUCUGGAAAGUUUCAUGUAAGCGCUAGAGUUCACAGUAUUGUCUUUAAAUGUCCCACUGAGGACAGACACCUGGCCAGCUAGAAAUGGUGCCCAUGCAGAAGGAAUCUGUGUAUCAUAGUUAGGACAAGAUACCCUACUACAGUGGUUCUCAACCUCCUGAUGCUGUGACCCUUUAAUAGGCUUCCUCAUGUUAUGGAAACCCCCAACCAUUAAAUCAUUUUGUUGCUACUUUAUAGCUGUAAUUUUGCUUUGGGCAUGAGUAAUAAAGUAAAUAUCUGAUAUACAGGACAUCAGCUAUGUGAUUCCAAAGGAGUCUUGGCCCACAGGUUGAGAACUAACGUCCUAUUGGGCUUACUUACUUAAUUACAUAAAAUUGAGUAUUAAACCUCCUCAUAGACAAGGUUUCAGAGAGGUCAAGCAGUUUUCUCAAAGUUGUACAGCCGAGUAGAUCCAGAACUCAGAGGCUUUUUUCUGACGAGUGCUAUACUGAGUACUAAACCACAAAUCACACACUGGGUGGGUGGUGGUGGGGUCACAGUUGUUAAUGCAGUUAAUAGAACAAAACUCCAGUUUUCAUUUCACUUCUUGAAGAAGCAACAGGAAGAAGGAGGCAGGGGCCAACCAGGAAGAAAGCCCUGGCUUCCUUGAGAGAACCAAUAGAGUCUCUUUUGCUUGAGAGAAGCCUCGGCUGUGUGGGCUGGGGAUAGGGUACCUGGUGAACCCCAUAACAUCCUGAAGAAAUGGAUUCUAUGUCCUCCUUAGAGGUUCAGUCCCCUCUGCUGUGGUUGGGCCUGACCUUGCCUGUCGUCUUGCCCCGUGUUGCUGCUCAGGUGCUGACUCACCCAUGAGUCUGAGUUUCAGGCAGUAGUCAACUGCAGCAGUACAUGGGCCCUGACUCACACACAGCACAGAGCUGGGGAGUCCCUCAUCUGUCGUGUCACCUGUCAUUCUGUGGGAAGGAGUCUCCUUUGCUGCUGGAGACGUCAACCUCUAUUAAUAUUGUGCAUGCGACAAUAAAGCAGCGAGACCCAAUCCUCCUGACUUCUUGGCAGAGUGAAGGGUGAGGUAAAACUGGAACCCCAGCCAGAGCUUGUGCCAAGGGAGGUCUGAGCCUUCCUGGAGUCAGUGACAGUAGCUGCUUUCCCAGGAUUCUUCAGUGGAGUGGGCUGCUGAAGAGGGCCAGAUGACACCAAGCUAAGCAAUCCAGCCUCGUGUGCUCAUAACAAAACCCAGACCCUGGCAGCCUUCUAGAAGGCAUUCCACAGCCCGUGGGAUUGCUGCUUUCUUCGCCUUGGUUGCCUCUGCUUCCAUUCAAUCAUUUCAAGGUCUCAGAACUACAAAUGAACCUCAAAGCCUGGCUUAGCGGUGAUGUGCAUGGUUCAUUGCUCAUAUCUCUGCUUCCUCUGCCCUCUGACCCCUGUGCGUGGCAUCCUAGGAUCAUCAAGAUGCCAGAGAGCAGCAGCAAAAACAAAUACACAAACAAGCCUCACUUUCUACCUCAGACCAUGAACAGACUUUGGCUCGGGCUGUGAUCUCCCUCAUGAAGUGCCCAGCUAUUCAUAGCCGACUCUGUCUUUGGAUCAAACACAAUACUGAAAACUGCUGUCAGAGAAGCCCCUUUCUCCUUGGGCAGGAGGAGCAGAGGGAAAAGAAGGCAAGAUGUGUCCUUCAGAACUUAGUAAGCCCACCCUGGGGCUCUCCAUGUGUGCUGUGUCCCUGCCCUGAAAAUCUGAUAUUCCAUUUCUCUCUCACCCUGAUGUGAGGGGUUCCAUCUACAGUAAGAGGAUCAGCCACCAAACAGCAGUGUGCCUGUGAGGCUUUACACUUCUGCAGGGACAGAGCAGUGGCCUGACUUGGGUCAACAAUAAACAACCUACCCUGUUACCAGACACUGGUAGGUAAGAAAGUGUCUUCAAAGUGGCCAAGUGCCGUGAGCUGAGAGCCAACCUCGCCGUUGUCAGCUGUUCUGGUUUUUGCUGUGUGAACCAUACUCACAAGGUCUUUCCCAAAGACAACCCGAGGGGAACUCUCGCCAGCCACCCUGGUACAGCACUGGACUCCGUAUGAGUUGAGUAACUCCACACAGUUCACUGACUUUAGAGAAUGAGGUGUGCACAGAUGCUGACUUUUUCCUGUGGUGAAGCGGAACAAGAAGCUGUACCUCUGUCCAGGCGAGUAGACAGACAAGCUUAUCUUUUUGCAUUGUUCCGAUCUCUCCGGUAUAACAACAAGAGGCACGUAAAUAUUAAUCCAUGAAGUGAGGGCAGGGCACCAAACAUGAGAAGGGAGCAAAGAAGAGAGGAAAAGGCUAUAGUUGUGGUUCAACUGGCAGAAUACUUGCCUAGCGUUCAAGUCUUGGGUCUUAUCUUCCACACUGCUUAACACCAGGUAUGGUGGGCCUUUUUAUGCCUGCAUUCACGACCAUGAUGUGGAAGCAGGAGGAUCUGAAUUUUAAACACAAAGUCAAGGCCAGCCUGGGCUACCUGAGGCCCUGUUUCUUGAAAAAUGAAAAACAAAACAAAACAAAGGGGCUGGGAUAUGCAUCACUGCAUAAAUCGUUUGCCCUACAAGCUUGAAGGACUGAAUUCAAACCCCCAGAAUCCAUGUAAUGCCCAACAAGGAAGUGUUCCGAAGGCAGCGGGAGACAGAGGGCUCUCUGGAAACUUGUGGGCUUGCAUAUGCAAUAGUAGACAUCAAAAAGACCCUGCCUCAAAUACAGUGGAAGGCAAGGACUGACGCAGAAAUUGUUCUCUGAGCUCCACCUACACACUGUGACACAUACAUGCUCAUACUUAUUCAUAUGAAUAUACACAGAGAGAGAGAGACAGAGACAGAGAGACAGAGACAGCGACAAAGAGAAUGCAGAAUGAAAUCAACAGAAUAUUAGAAGACAAAAUAUUACUUCAGCACAAACAGGG